UAUUUCCCAGGCUCCCUUGCAGUUAUAGGGGACCAGGGGACACGGUGUGACUGAUGAACCAUAAAUGACAAUCUGCUAGGACUCCCGUGGACACUUUUGCUUCCCUCAUGAAAGACACAAACUUAGUUGUCCUUUUGCUGCUUUCUCCAGCUGGAACACAGCCAUGAAGCACGACGCUAUUGCAAUCAGCCACAUCAGGACUACUUACGUCAUUUUGAGCUAUUAUCACAAGGUGCUGUAGAGGAGCUGACUUCAAAGCAACAGAAAUGUAUUUCUCAUCCUCCUGGAGGCUGAAGUCCGCGGUGAGGUGCCAGUAUCGUCUGGUUCUGCUGUCGAAGGUGAGUUUGCGUUGCUUGAGAUUAAGAACCCUGAUGGAGACAGCAACAUAUUCCGUAUUGCCCAUUCUGAAAGUCCCCUUAACAACAUCAACCCAGGGCUUUUGGGUAUGUGAUGAACUUUAUUAAGGUAUGGAAAUACUAGUGAACAGAG
rnacentral:lncRNA from 1 species